GACGAACGCUGGCGGCGUGCUUAACACAUGCAAGUCGAACGGAAAGGCCCUGCUUUUGUGGGGUGCUCGAGUGGCGAACGGGUGAGUAACACGUGAGUAACCUGCCCUUGACUUUGGGAUAACUUCAGGAAACUGGGGCUAAUACCGGAUAGGAGCUCCUGCUGCAUGGUGGGGGUUGGAAAGUUUCGGCGGUUGGGGAUGGACUCGCGGCUUAUCAGCUUGUUGGUGGGGUAGUGGCUUACCAAGGCUUUGACGGGUAGCCGGCCUGAGAGGGUGACCGGCGACAUUGGGACUGAGAUACGGCCCAGACUCCUACGGGAGGCAGCAGUGGGGAAUAUUGCACAAUGGGCGGAAGCCUGAUGCAGAAACGCCGCGUGCGGGAUGACGGCCUUCGGGUUGUAAACCGCUUUCGCCGGUGACGAAGAGUGAGUGACGGUAAUGGGUAAAGAAGCACCGGCUAACUACGUG
rnacentral:rRNA from 1 species